UUGCUAAAAAUGAAAAAGCAAAAGAAAACCACAACUCUAAUCGUGAAUCAUCUUCAUCGUCUGUUUCAUAAAUCCUCGUCGUCAACCGUCGUAUGGAGCAUCUUUGUUCUAGGAUCUCAGCAAACCCUACCUCUUAUGCGGCUAAAUCCACGAUUUCAGUUCACUUAGCUUGAUGCGGAAGCACGACUCAAGGAUAAGAAGGCAAGAGAUUUUACGGUUUAGUGAAGAUCUGAAGGAAGCUCAAGGUAUUUCAUGUGUUAAGGAGUUUUGCAUUAUGAUAAAUUUUUGCUAAGGAUUUUGUAAACAAGGUGUUUGUUGAAAUGCCACAACGGGUAUACCUAUGUUGAUUUUGAGUAUAACUCAUUUAUAAUUGUUGUAACAUGUUUACAAAUAAAUAUUGUUUGUUGGGAAUGCCUUAUUUCUUGUUUGAUUGAGUAAAAGUUCAUCUUAACAAGCCACGACUCUGAGUCAAGGUGCUUCAAGGAUUGGUUUAAUAUUCAUUUAGAUGUGUAUGUAACGUUUGAUCAAUUUUAAUUUGCAGAAGUUUAUCCGUUAGUGUUGAUGUGGUUUGUGUAUACUCACUGUCAAUUUUAUUUUUAUGUAAUAUAUGAUUAUCCAUAAAACAAGUGACAGAAAAAUUAUAAGAUGAUAUAUCAUAUACAAAACAAAAAAUUCGGGUCAUAAACUAAAUUUAGAUUACAAAUAACAGUGGCUCCUUUUAACCCCGUCUCGUAUGAUUUGUUGGGUUUUGAUAUAUUACAACCAAUGAUAGUGGUAUUUGAUGGGAUAUGUUUGGUGGUUGAAAAAAACUUAUAUUAGUUUUAUAUUUUGGUGGACUAAUUGGAAAUGUGUAAAUCACUAUGUUCACUUCUUAAUUUCUAUGU